UACGUAGGGGGCAAGCGUUGUCCGGAUUUAUUGGGCGUAAAGAGCGUGUAGGCGGUUAGGUAGGUCCGUUGUGAAAACUCGAGGCUCAACCUCGAGACGCCGAUGGAAACCAUCUAACUAGAGUCCGGAAGAGGAGAAUGGAAUUCCUGGUGUAGCGGUGAAAUGCGCAGAUAUCAGGAAGAACACCCGUGGCUAAGGCGGUUCUCUAGUACGGUACUGACGCUGAGACGCGAAAGCGUGGGGAGCGAACAGG
rnacentral:rRNA from 1 species